rnacentral:rRNA from 1 species
AAUGAACGCUGGCGGCAGGCCUAACACAUGCAAGUCGAACGGAUCCUUCGGGAUUAGUGGCGGACGGGUGAGUAACGCGUGGGAACAUACCCUUUGGUACGGAAUAGCCUCGGGAAACUGGGAGUAAUACCGUAUGUGGUCGAGAGACGAAAGAUUUAUCGCCAAAGGAUUGGCCCGCGUUGGAUUAGGUAGUUGGUGGGGUAAUGGCCUACCAAGCCGACGAUCCAUAGCUGGUUUGAGAGGACGAUCAGCCACACUGGGACUGGGACACGGCCCAGACUCCUACGGGAGGCAGCAGUGGGGAAUCUUAGACAAUGGGGGAAACCCUGAUCUAGCCAUGCCGCGUGAUCGAUGAAGGCCUUAGGGUUGUAAAGAUCUUUCAGGUGGGAAGAUAAUGACUGUACCACCAGAAGAAGCCCCGGCUAACUCCGUGCCAGCCGCCGCAGUAA